CUAUAUAAGCAGACCCUUUCUUCCCGUCUGGGUCCUGCCCGACACAUUUGUUUCACAAAGAGCUGAAGAGUAAAGCUUUCUGCAGAAGAAUCCUGCUGUUGUUGUGUGCUGUUCUUGCCGGCGAGGACGGGGCGUGCGACAAGUGGUGCCGAAACCCGGGAACCAGAACAUCACCGGCACAGGGAGGACCCUUCAGACAUCUGGAGAGGAUUCAGAACUGCAGGACAGAAGAAAGCCCGGAGAGGGUGAAGAAAACCCCUUCUGGAUCCCAGAGCGCCUGACAAGGAAGGUCCUGGACAAAGGAGAUGACCUCUCUGUGCCUACUGAUCCUGCUCUCGUCGCUGGGAACCCCGAUUCAGGGAGUACUGAGAUGGGGAAUAUUGUCUGCCUUUCCUAAGCCCAUGCCCGUCCGCUUCAAUGCAGCGAUUUUUCCACGUUUUUUUACUUCCAACUCUAGCAUAAAUCUGCCAUACCUGGCAAAAGACACCACAACAGCUCCUUUGGGAGAAAACCGAUCCUUUGUAACCGACGGAUCAUUAUGUUUCACCACUAAGAAUCUAA